AUGGACACUUUUGUCGCUGGCAAUGAUACUAGUGCAAGAACAAUAAACUGGGCAAUGGCGGAGCUAAUUAGGCACCCAAGGGUGCUCAAGAAGGUACAAGAAGAAAUCAGAACUGAGGUAGGGAAGAAAGAGAGGGUGCAAUACGAAGACAUGUCCAAGCUAAACUACUUGAGAAUGGUUGUCAAGGAGACCCUACGGCUGCGUAUCCCGGCGGCUUUGCUGGUUCCAAGGGAGACCUUAUGGAAGAUUCAGAUUGCAGGAUACGAAAUCCCAGCCAAGACAAGGGUUAUCGUAAAUGCAUGGGCUAUUGCUAGGGAUCCCAAUGUUUGGAAGGACCCGGAGGAGUUUUACCCUGAACGUUUUGAGGACACAGAUAUAGACUUCAAUGGGGCACAUUUCGAGCUUUUGCCCGCAUCUGCCCAGGAAUGGACGUGGGUGUGGCCAAUGUAG
rnacentral:rRNA from 1 species